CACGUCAGUGCGAGUUGCUGACGUGGUAGCAAAUCGCGUCCUUGAGGGAGCGAUUUGUUGCCACAUCAGCAACUCGCGCUGAUGUGG
rfam:Gossypium hirsutum cultivar TM-1 unplaced genomic scaffold scaffold154.1, whole genome shotgun sequence